rnacentral:rRNA from 1 species
GACGAGGGGUCCAAGCGUUGUUCGGAAUUACUGGGCGUAAAGCGCGUGUAGGCGGUUGUUCAAGUCGGGUGUGAAAGCCUUGAGCUCAACUCAAGAAAUGCACUCGAUACUGGAUGACUUGAGGACCGGAGAGGAUAGUGGAAUUCCCAGUGUAGUGGUGAAAUACGUAGAGAUUGGGAAGAACACCAGUGGCGAAGGCGGCUAUCUGGACGGUUUCUGACGCUAAGACGCGAAAGCGUGGGGAGCAAACAGG